rfam:Enterobacter cloacae S611 EDP2.NODE_1876, whole genome shotgun sequence.
CCCCGUACGCUGUGCGGGGCGCUGUAUGUGCUUUUGUAACCAAGGGGUCUGCUCGUG